CACGUGGGGUGCGAGCGUUGUCCGGAAUUAUUGGGCGUAAAGAGCUCGUAGGCGGUGUGUCGCGUCGGCCGUGAAAACUUGGGGCUUAACUCUGAGCGUGCGGUCGAUACGGGCAUCACUUGAGUUCGGCAGGGGAGACUGGAAUUCCUGGUGUAGCGGUGAAAUGCGCAGAUAUCAGGAGGAACACCGGUGGCGAAGGCGGGUCUCUGGGCCGAUACUGACGCUGAGGAGCGAAAGCGUGGGGAGCGAACAGG
rnacentral:rRNA from 1 species